rnacentral:tRNA from 1 species
UCUUAGCUCAGUUGGUAGAGCAGCGGACUCUUAAUCCGUUGGUCGAGUGUUCGAGUCACUCAGGG